rnacentral:rRNA from 1 species
AACGCGUGAGGAACCUGCCUCAAAGAGGGGGACAACAGUUGGAAACGACUGCUAAUACCGCAUAAGCCCACAGGUCGGCAUCGACCAGAGGGAAAAGGAGCAAUCCGCUUUGAGAUGGCCUCGCGUCCGAUUAGCUAGUUGGUGAGGUAAUAGCCCACCAAGGCAACGAUCGGUAGCCGGACUGAGAGGUUGAACGGCCACAUUGGGACUGAGACACGGCCCAGACUCCUACGGGAGGCAGCAGUGGGGAAUAUUGCACAAUGGGGGAAACCCUGAUGCAGCGACGCCGCGUGGAGGAAGAAGGUCUUCGGAUUGUAAACUCCUGUUGUUGAGGAAGAUAAUGACGGUACUCAACAAGGAAGUGACGGCUAACUACGUGCCAGCAGCCGCGGUAAAACGUAGGUCACAAGCGUUGUCCGGAAUUACUGGGUGUAAAGGGAGCGCAGGCGGGAAGACAAGUUGGAAGUGAAAUCUAUGGGCUCAACCCAUAAACUGCUUUCAAAACUGUUUUUCUUGAGUAGUGCAGAGGUAGGCGGAAUUCCCGGUGUAGCGGUGGAAUGCGUAGAUAUCGGGAGGAACACCAGUGGCGAAGGCGGCCUACUGGGCACCAACUGACGCUGAGGCUCGAAAGUGUGGGUAGCAAACAGGAUUAGAUACCCUGGUAGUCCACACCGUAAACGAUGAUUACUAGGUGU